AGCAGCCGCGGUAAUUCCAGCUCCAAUAGCGUAUAUUAAAGUUGUUGCAGUUAAAAAGCUCGUAGUUGAAUUUCGGGAUCAGUUGAUCGGUCGUGCCUCGGUACGUACUGGUCAAAUUGAUUCCUACCUUCUGACGAACCACGAUGUCAUUAAUUUGGUGUCGUGGGAAAUCAGGACUGUUACUUUGAAAAAAUUAGAGUGUUUAAAGCAGGCUCGCGCUUGAAUACAUUAGCAUGGAAUAAUGAAAUAGGACGUUUGAUUCUAUUUUGUUGGUUUCUAGGAUCGACGUAAUGAUUAAUAGGGAUAGUUGGGGGCAUUAGUAUUCAAUUGUCAGAGGUGAAAUUCUUGGAUUUAUUGAAGACUAACUACUGCGAAAGCAAUUUGCCAAGGAUGUUUUCAUUAAUCAAGAACGAAAGUUAGGGGAUCGAAGACGAUCAGAUACCGUCGUAG
rnacentral:rRNA from 1 species